rnacentral:lncRNA from 1 species
CGAGAGCCAUACUUGUUGGCUAAAAGCUCAGGGCUAUAAAAAAAAAAGCAUCCGCAGCACGUGUCAUAGCUCUAGCUUCAGAUUGCAUAUUGUCGGCUCGAUCUCUGUUAUAUGGACCAACUUGAAGGGUUCAACCUGUAACAUUACUACUAUUGUUCCCACCGGCUACAUCUCUGAUUGUUGUUGCUAUUGUUGAGGCCUCGCCUCCACUAGAGUCAUUCGAGCUGUAACAGUUAGUCUUAACUCUCCGUCCGUCGAAGCUUUUCCCCCUGUAGGUCAAACCGAAUCGACGCGGGAAGUCAACAUAAUAUAAUGAUUUGCCACAAAAGAACAACUCAUCCUCACAGACUCCCCAACUAAACUAAUUAAUUUUAUGAAAAAGGUUGCUCUACCUAAGUAGUGUGCAAAUGAAAUAAGAGCAGGCUUGCAUGAUACCUUAGAAGUUCCCUGUAACACCCAUAUCCAACAAAG